UCCUAGCCCCGAUAGCAGUGAAAAUCCUUUUGUGCCGGUGUUCGGCACAAAAGAUUGCAACGAAUAGCGGGAAAAAGC
rnacentral:sRNA from 1 species